UUUUUAGUAUAAAUAUGUCCCAUGCAAUAUCUGGGACAUACAGAUACUAAAA
rfam:Myotis davidii contig11516, whole genome shotgun sequence.